rnacentral:rRNA from 1 species
AGUGAACGCUGGCGGUAGGCCUAACACAUGCAAGUCGAACGGCAGCACAGUAAGAGCUUGCUCUUACGGGUGGCGAGUGGCGGACGGGUGAGGAAUACAUCGGAAUCUACUUUUUCGUGGGGGAUAAUGUAGGGAAACUUACGCUAAUACCGCAUACGACCUACGGGUGAAAGCAGGGGAUCUUCGGACCUUGCGCGAUUGAAUGAGCCGAUGUCGGAUUAGCUAGUUGGCGGGGUAAAGGCCCACCAAGGCGACGAUCCGUAGCUGGUCUGAGAGGAUGGUCGGCCACACUGGAACUGAGACACGGUCCAGACUCCUACGGGAGGCGGCAGUGGGGAAUAUUGGACAAUGGGCGCAAGCCUGAUCCAGCCAUACCGCGUGGGUGAAGAAGGCCUUCGGGUUGUAAAGCCCUUUUGUUGGGAAAGAAAAGCAGCAGGUUAAUACCCCGCUGUUCUGACGGUACCCAAAGAAUAAGCACCGGCUAACUUCGUG